rnacentral:rRNA from 1 species
AUUGAACGCUGGCGGCAUGCCUUACACAUGCAAGUCGAACGGCAGCACGGGAGCAAUCCUGGUGGCGAGUGGCGAACGGGUGAGUAAUACAUCGGAACGUGCCCAGUAGUGGGGAUAGCCCGGCGAAAGCCGGAUUAAUACCGCAUACGACCUAUGGGUGAAAGCGGGGGAUCGCAAGACCUCGCGCUAUUGGAGCGGCCGAUGGCAGAUUAGCUUGUUGGUGGGGUAAAGGCCUACCAAGGCUACGAUCUGUAGCUGGUCUGAGAGGACGACCAGCCACACUGGGACUGAGACACGGCCCAGACUCCUACGGGAGGCAGCAGUGGGGAAUUUUGGACAAUGGGCGCAAGCCUGAUCCAGCCAUGCCGCGUGCGGGAAGAAGGCCUUCGGGUUGUAAACCGCUUUUGUCAGGGAAGAAACGCACUAAAUUAAUACUUUGGUGUAAUGACGGUACCUGAAGAAUAAGCACCGGCUAACUACGUGCCAGCCGCCGCUGUAA